UACAGAGGGGGCAAGCGUUGUUCGGAAUUACUGGGCGUAAAGGGCGCGUAGGCGGCCGCCUAAGUCAGCCGUGAAAUCCCUCGGCUCAACCGGGGAACUGCGUCUGAUACUGGGUGGCUUGAGAUUGGGAGAGGGAUGCGGAAUUCCAGGUGUAGCGGUGAAAUGCGUAGAUAUCUGGAGGAACACCGGUGGCGAAGGCGACAUCCUGGACCAACACUGACGCUGAGGAGCGAAAGCCAGGGGAGCAAACGGG
rnacentral:rRNA from 1 species